GCCAGCGUGGCAUAGUGGUUUGAGCACUGGACUAUGACUCUGGAGACCAGGAUUCGAAUCCCACUCAGCCA
rnacentral:tRNA from 1 species